rnacentral:rRNA from 1 species
AGUGAACGCUGGCGGUAGGCCUAACACAUGCAAGUCGAACGGCAGCACAGUAAGAGCUUGCUCUUACGGGUGGCGAGUGGCGGACGGGUGGGGAAUACAUCGGAAUCUACUUUUUCGUGGGGGAUAACGUAGGGAAACUUACGCUAAUACCGCAUACGACCUACGGGUGAAAGCAGGGGAUCUUCGGACCUUGCGCGAUUGAAUGAGCCGAUGUCGGAUUAGCUAGUUGGCGGGGGAAAGGCCCACCAAGGCGACGAUCCGUAGCUGGUCUGAGAGGAUGAUCAGCCACACUGGAACUGAGACACGGUCCAGACGCCUACGGGAGGCAGCAGUGGGGAAUAUUGGACAAUGGGCGCAAGCCUGAUCCAGCCAUACCGCGUGGGUGAAGAAGGCCUUCGGGUUGUAAAGCCCUUUUGUUGGGAAAGAAAAGCAGCAGGUUAAUACCCCGCUGUUCUGACGGUACCCAAAGAAUAAGCACCGGCUAACUUCGUG